UGACCAAAUAACCACCUUAACUGGGCUGC
rnacentral:sRNA from 1 species